AUGUUAUGAUUUGGGCACCUGCGUAAUAAAAGUUUAAACCUUUCCCAUGAGUCAUACAACGAUUCAGUUUCCUGCUGCUCAAAGUUUGUGAUUUCAGCUCUUCAUUC